GGGGGAUUAGCUCAGCUGGUAGAGCGCCUGCCUUGCAAGCAGGAGGUCGGCGGUUCGAACCCGCCAUCCUCCACCA
rnacentral:tRNA from 2 species